UGUAUCUAGAGUCGUAUAUUA
rnacentral:piRNA from 1 species